rnacentral:lncRNA from 1 species
AGAUACCCCUGGCAAGGCCAGGGCCUUCCCUGAGCAUGCCUCUGCCCUCACUAUAUGAACAUAGUCCUUGACACAGGCCUCUGUUGAUGAGCUUAUGGGUCAGGCUUGGUCCUCAGUAGCAUGUGGCUAUUAUCCCAUCAGAGGCUCUACUUUUAUCAGACUUGUUAAAGCUAGCCAUUUCUAAUGCCCUGCAUCUAGACUCUGCUUAGAAUUUUCUCAUAUCAGAAGGUGAGAUGUUGACUUCUGAUUAUUUGUAGCAAAAAAUAAAAUUUACAACUCUUAUAAAACUAAUUUCUCCUACUUGGGCCUAAAUAGUUGACUAAUAUUCAUUUAAAUAAAAGCUGAGUAUUAACUUGGCCACAAUUUGAUCAAAUUCAUGAUAGUAGGUAGAUGUUAGAAAAGGUUUAUAAAUAUAAAAAAUGUAGGUGACAAUUCAGUAUUGUUUAAGGUAAUUAAUGCUUCCUUUGUCCAGCUUCUCUUGUUCCCUUUACAGCUUUAUGCUAAAAUUUACAAGGAUCCAUCUUUUCCCACUGUCUGUUUUAUUCUUUGUGCUGUUUGUUAAAUGACUGAUGUACGUGUUUAUUUCUUCAGAAAACACCAAGACAGCACUUAUUAGUGCCCUCCUAAGAGUGGAGGGCAAGAUGUUCCUUCUGAACUCCACAGAUAGAGGCACAGCCAGUGCAGGGUCCCAGCAGGUGCUGCCAAAUAUGUUUGUGGCAUAGGGAAGGGAGUGGGUAUUCAUGAAGUCUGAGUGAGAUGUGAUCUCAUAAAUGACUGGCACCAUUUUCCUGAACCGUUGCCAGGUUGUGGUGGCUGAACAUGUGUCUGCUGGGUUUCAGCAGUGCUCAGCAGACCACACAAAGGCUCCUGAGCAUCGCUGACUCCACUCAGUGCUGGGCUCCCUAAGCCCUGGUUCUGGAGCAGGAAACAGAUAAUUAUAUUCACCCUUCUCGCGGGACUUCUUAAUAUUUAUGGUUGUGAAAUACUUUGCAGUAGCUUUUAUUAAUAGUUACCAGAUGUGUCAUAAGGAUUAAUGAAUUUACGAUGUGAAGUGUUUAGAGCUCCUGAAAUAGAGGUUACUGUGCAUGGAAUGUGCAAAGGAGUAUUCAAAUGGCUGAGCUUGGAGGGUGGAGCUGUUGUGUGUGAAGGAGCAGUGGCUUGCAGAAGGUCCAGCUUAGUUUGUAUCUGGUACCUUACUGCUUGAGCCUCUCCCCCAGCCCCAUAUGUGGAUACACAGUGUGUUGGGUACUCUGUCCACCUUUCUCCUCUCCGCCUGGGUAAUGCCUCUAACUUCUUCAGCCUCCAAACAUUCAUCGCACUUCUUGUUUCCUCUUCUUUCUCUUCCUAUCCAAGUUUAGGCCCUCAGGAACUCUCUGUGGAACCACUGCAAUAAUGUCUUCAUUGAUCUCUCAUCCUGGUGUCUUCCCUCCCUAACCAGUCUUCCAAAGGAAGAUUCUCCUCUCUGUCAUCACACAAAGACUUCUAUGCCCCACCCCUUCCAGUUUCCACCCCUUCACUGCACUGAGCCUCUUCCCUUGCUGGGGCUGUUCAAGAUCCUGGGGAGACACCAGUUCCCUGAUGCCUUCUGCUCAGGCUGGUCCCACCCAGUCACUCGGUCUAUCUCUUCUCCCCUGAGUUCCCUCUGCCUUAGGACCUUCCAGUCUGGGAUCCAUUUCUCACUCUUCAUUUUAGUAAUUUGGCUUACACAUCCCUCCCUGCCCGCAAACAGACCACCUCUCCCAAAUGAGAGAAGCCAAAUGGACAUUGAGACUUGCUGAGUCUGGAGAGCGGUUUCAUGGUAGAACCAGGGCUUGGUCUGUUUGUGCCCUCGGUUAAUUUUUGCAUCUGUUUUGUUAGGGAGCCACCGAGUCAUGUUAGGGAGCUGCUGAGUCAUGAGGAAGAGUGUGCACAUGCUUCCCUGCUCAGGAUCACGUCAGCAGGAGUCCAUGUUUGGUGGCCACCAUUCCCUCCUGCUAGGCUUCUACAUUUCCUUCCUUCCUUCCUUCCUUCCUUCCUUCCUUCCUUCCUUCCUUCCUUCCUUCC